GUCGAAGGUGAACCUGGACUUCGGUCCAGUGGAAACUGGCGCACGGAUGAGUAACGCGUGGGAAUCUACCUAGUGGUUCAGAAUAACCGCGGGAAACUGCGGCUAAUACUGGAUACGCCCUCCGGGGGAAAGAUUUAUCGCCAUUAGAUGAGCCCGCGUCGGAUUAGCUUGUUGGUGAGGUAACGGCUCACCAAGGCGACGAUCCGUAGCUGGUCUGAGAGGAUGAUCAGCCACACUGGGACUGAGACACGGCCCAGACUCCUACGGGAGGCAGCAGUGGGGAAUAUUGGACAAUGGGCGCAAGCCUGAUCCAGCCAUGCCGCGUGAGUGAUGAAGGCCUUAGGGUUGUAAAGCUCUUUCAGCAGGGAAGAUAAUGACGGUACCCGCAGAAGAAGCCCCGGCUAACUUCGUGCCAGCAGCCGCGGUAAUACGAAGGGGGCUAGCGUUGUUCGGAAUUACUGGGCGUAAAGCGCGCGUAGGCGGAUUGUUAAGUCAGGGGUGAAAUCCCGAGGCCCAACCGCGGAACUGCCCUUGAUACUGGCGAUCUUGAGUCCGGGAGAGGUGAGUGGAAUUCCUAGUGUAGAGGUGAAAUUCGUAGAUAUUAGGAAGAACACCAGUGGCGAAGGCGGCUCACU
rnacentral:rRNA from 1 species